rnacentral:lncRNA from 1 species
GGUGGGGAACUCGGGCAGGGAACACAAUGUGGCUCCUUGUUCCCUCGCUCAGCCUGCUGGAAUUGGCCCAUUUCCUGCCUGGGCCUUGGGGCCUUUUCCAAGGUAAAUAAACAAAUACAGAGAAGUCGGGGCCUUGGGUGGAGAAAGGGGUGUUGGGGUUUUCCUACCCCUGGCACCCCACGGGCUGGGUCUUUAUUCUCGGAGGGUCUUUGACUUCUGGGAAGACAAGCUCUUCUUGAAGAUUUGGGUGCUCUGCCUUGGGUACCCAACCCCGCCCCCACCCCUUUUCAAGUGCUGCCCCAAGAGAGGAAGCCGGGGCCUGGGCAGGGGGCAAAACCAACUGACAGGCUCUCCGGAAAAGGGAUCUGGGGUGCAUGGUAAGCCCUGUGUUGCUGCGCGCCUGCUUGGCGUUGAUUUCAGGAAGGAAAUGACUGCCAUCCAGCAUUGGAUAUGGGCUCCUCCCAUGGGGCACUUCCUGGAGAGCCUUGACACCUGGUCCCCAGCUCUGACGUGGUUCAGUUGCUUGCUGUCCUCUGGAUUCGGUUUCCAUGACUUCAAAAUGGGGGCAUUUCCGCUUUCAGAGUGGCUGGUUGGUUGCAGAAUGCAGGCACUCAGCUGGCCCCAUGGAUUUGGGUGUGGGACACCCUACACCUGCUCUUAAGGAACUUCCAAGUGGGACUUGAUUUUCUUGUGAAAAAAAAAAAAUGAGAAGAACCUGAAUGGACGCAGGCACCUGUCACCUAGCAUUUCAGAGGCUGAGAAAGGAGGACGAGCCAGCCUGGUCUACCCGGAAAAAAACUGACC